rnacentral:rRNA from 1 species
GAUGAACGCUGGCGGCGUGCCUAAUACAUGCAAGUCGAGCGAACAGACGAGAGUGCUUGCACUCUCUGACGUUAGCGGCGGACGGGUGAGUAACACGUGGGUAACCUACCUAUAAGACUGGGAUAACUUCGGGAAACCGGAGCUAAUACCGGAUAAUAUUUAGCUUCGCAUGAAGCAAUAGUGAAAGACGGUUCUGCUGUCACUUAUAGAUGGACCCGCGGUGUAUUAGCUAGUUGGUGAGGUAACGGCUCACCAAGGCAACGAUACAUAGCCGACCUGAGAGGGUGAUCGGCCACACUGGGACUGAGACACGACCCAGACUCCUACGGGAGGCAGCAGUAGGGAAUCUUCCGCAAUGGACGAAAGUCUGACGGAGCAAUGCCGCGUGAGUGAAGAAGGUUUUCGGAUCGUAAAACUCUGUUGUAAGGGAAGAACAAGUACGUUAGUAACUGAACGUACCUUGACGGUACCUUACCAGAAAGCCACGGCUAACUACGUG